UUGGAGAUACCAGAUGGCUCUAGAUGCAGCGAGCAAUGGUAACUUCAACACACAUUACCCAGCUGAUGCAACAACCCUGAUAGAUAACCUCGCUUGCAGCAACAGCACCAAGAAUUUGAUUUUGAGAGGAAGAAGAUUGAUGGAGCUAUUUCAGGAAAUCAGAUGGCAGAGGUGAAUGCUAAGCUGGAUUCAGUUCAUAACUUGCUCACAGGGAAGAAGCAUGUCCACAUUGCAGCUGCAAAAGAGACUAUUGAGCCUGAGCCUGAGUCAAAGGAAGGAGUCUUCUACAUAGAUGGUCAGGAAUAAAGGAAGUUUGGGCAGCCACAUGGCAACUUCAGUGGCAACAGGUUUACAUGGAACCAGGGUUCCUCCAACUACACUCUAAAGCCUGCUUUCCAGAAGACCUUUCCUCAAAGCAGCUUUCAGAGGACCUAUGGUAAUUCAACUUACCAAGCCCCCCUCCACCCUCAGCAGAGACAAGAAUGGAAUCGAUGCUUGAGCAGAUUCUGGAGAGCCAAUCAAAGCUUGUUGUGGAGUUUAAUGGCAAGUUUGAUGUUUUCUACAGAGAUCUUAAUGGGAAGAUCGACAAUCUGAGCUCUCACUUGAAGAAGCUAGAUGUACAGGUAGCUCAAACUACACAAUCUAUCAAGAGACAAGAGAGUUUUCUUCCUGGUAAUCUUGAUGCUAACCCAAGGAAGAGCUGCAAUGCCAUCUUGAUUAGAGAAGGAGAUGAUGUGUGGGAGGAAUUGGACACUGAAGACGAGUUGGAGCUCGCAGUUGCAGAGAUGGUGUCGACCGACACCCUCCUGUGUCGAUCGACACCAUAUGGGACGCUUUUCUCAGAGACGACUCAAUACGACGGUGUCGAUCGAUACCCAUCUAGUGUCGAUCGACACUGGAUCCGGACUGCACCUUGUGAGGUGCAAGUACCUAUGCAGCCCGAGCCCGUUUACAUUCCUCCUAUCCCUUAUCCGAGGAAGCGUCGUUCUAAGAAGGAGAUUCAUGCUGCUAAGUGCACAGCCAUAAUGGAGAAGAUCCUCCAUACUCUUCAUAAGGAUGCUUCUGAGACAUCUUCCGCCUCACUCAACAGGUAUGUCAAGCGACUUGUUGACAAAGGAAUUAGCUUAGAUGAAGCUAAGCUACUUACCAGAGACAUCAGUGCAAUCAUGCUGCCUAAGGCCAAGAAGGAGAAGGUACAGAGAGUAGACAUAGCUGAGUACAUCCGCACCAUUACUCCUGGUUAGACCACUGAGACGCUUUUAGAUCCAGGUAGCUUUGUUCUUGAUUGCUCUAUCUCCACAAGCAGAUUCAGCCGCUCUUUGUGUGAUCUGGGAUCAAGCAUUAACCUCAUGCCUAAGUCUGUUGUUGAGAGACUAGGCAUGACUCAGUACAGGCCUACUCGCAUCACUCUUCUCUUCGCGGAUCGUUCCAAGCGAAUCCCUGAAGGAAUCUUUGAAGAUGUUUCUGUUAAGGUUGGUAACUCCAUAAUCCCUGCUGAUUUCGUGGUCCUGGACUAUGAGAAGGAACUCAAGGAUCCUCUUAUCCUUGGAAGAGCAUUCCUAACUAUAGCUAGUGCUAGGUUUGAUGUGAAGAGAGGGAGAAUCUCUCUCAAGGUUUGUGAUUUGGAGAUGAAGUUUGGCAUGGAUGGUUCAGAGCUUACUAAGCCUGUCAGUUGCAUUGCUUCCAGCAUAGACACACCUCCUCAAACUGAUCAGAAUCCCACCACAGAGCCACACAAAACGCUCCAACCUGCUCAGCUCGCCAAUGAGAGUUG
rnacentral:sRNA from 1 species